rnacentral:rRNA from 1 species
GACGAACGCUGGCGGCGUGCUUAACACAUGCAAGUCGAACGAUGAAGCGGGUGCUUGCACUCGUGGAUUAGUGGCGAACGGGCGAGUAACACGUGAGUAACCUGUCCUUUUCUUUGGGAUAACGGCUGGAAACGGCUGCUAAUACUGGAUAUUCAGGCUGCAUCGCAUGGUGUGGUUUGGAAAGGUUUUUUCUGGGAUUGGGUGGGCUCGCGGCCUAUCAGCUUGUUGGUGGGGUGAUGGCUUACCAAGGCUUUGACGGGUAGCCGGCCUGAGAGGGUGGUCGGUCGCACUGGGACUGAGAUACGGCCCAGACUCCUACGGGAGGCAGCAGUGGGGAAUAUUGCACAAUGGACGAAAGUUUGAUGCAGCGACGCCGCGUGGAGGGUGUAGGCCUUCGGGUUGUGAACUCCUUUUUCUCGCGAAAAAGGCACAGUUUUGGCUGUGUUGAUGGUAGUGGGGGAAGAAGCGCCGGCUAACUACGUGCCAGCAGCCGCGGUAAUACGUAGGGCGCGAGCGUUGUCCGGAUUUAUUGGGCGUAAAGAGCUCGUAGGUGGUUCGUCGCGUCUGUCGUGAAAGCCAGCAGCUUAACUGUUGGUCUGCGGUGGGUACGGGCGGGCUUGAGUGCGGUAGGGGUGACUGGAAUUCCUGGUGUAGCGGUGGAAUGCGCAGAUAUCAGGAGGAACACCGAUGGCGAAGGCAGGUCACUGGGCCGUUACUGACACUGAGGAGCGAAAGCGUGGGGAGCGAACAGG